CUCAAAGUUGCAAAUCUAUCAUACAAGAUGCCAGAGAUUCUCAUAGUAGAGAUUGUGCUCUUCAACGAAGGAGAAAAGAUUUGAGAUGUCGGGAGGUGAUGCAUCGAUGCAACCAAUGAGGUGCGGUGGGUUGGAGGUGGUGGUUGUUUGAUUCAAGGUGUGGUGGUGAUGGUGUUUAAGGUAAGUACGUGGAAUAUUGGCUUUCUCCAUGGUGGAAACUUCUCAUGCACCUUAUUACAAUAUUAUUUACCUAGUCGCUUUGAAAACUUUAGAGACUAAAACGUUUCUUUUUUCAUUGUACUAAAUGAUAGAUGACAGAUUUAAUUUCGCGGCAA